UCAACUUGGACUUAGAGGAUUUCAUCUUAGGAUCUUUGCUUGGAAGUCUUCCUUUACUCUUUGUGAUACUUUGUAAACACUUGGAUUUUCAUCCGUAACUUACAUGCAUGUUGUAAGAAUGGCAUCAUGGCACCACCUUAGGGGGACAUGUUUGUAAGACAAUUAUCCUUUGUUUAACUUAGGUCACUUUUGCACACAAAAGGCUUUCUCUUGGGCUACCUUAC
rnacentral:lncRNA from 1 species